GCGGCGGAUGGGUGAGUAACGCGUGAGCAACCUACCCUGUACAGGGGGAUAACAUCGGGAAACCGAUGCUAAUACCCCAUGACACCGCACCGUUGCAUGACGGAGCGGUCAAAGGGCAUUACCGGUACAGGAUGGGCUCGCGUCCCAUUAGCUGGUUGGUGAGGUAACGGCUCACCAAGGCGACGAUGGGUAGCCGACCUGAGAGGGUGACCGGCCACACUGGGACUGAGACACGGCCCAGACUCCUACGGGAGGCAGCAGUGGGGAAUAUUGCGCAAUGGGGGGAACCCUGACGCAGCAACGCCGCGUGAGCGAGGAAGGCCUUCGGGUCGUAAAGCUCUGUCAUUAGGGACGAAGUAAGUGACGGUACCUAAGGAGGAAGCCCCGGCUAACUACGUGCCAGCAGCCGCGGUAAUACGUAGGGGGCGAGCGUUGUCCGGAAUUACUGGGCGUAAAGGGCGUGUAGGCGGCCGGUUAAGUCAGAUGUGAAAGGCCUCG
rnacentral:rRNA from 1 species